GAUGAACGCUGGCGGCGUGCCUAAUACAUGCAAGUCGAGCGAAUGGAUUAAGAGCUUGCUCUUAUGAAGUUAGCGGCGGACGGGUGAGUAACACGUGGGUAACCUGCCCAUAAGACUGGGAUAACUCCGGGAAACCGGGGCCAAUACCGGAUAACAUUUGGAACAGCAUGGUUCGAAAUUGAAAGGCGGCUUCGGCUGUCACUUAUGGAUGGACCAGCGUCGCAUUGGCUAGUUGGUGGGGUAACGGCUCACCAAGGCAAGGAUGCGUAGCCGACCUGAGAGGGUGAUCGGCCACACUGGGACUGAGACACGGCCCAGACUCCUACGGGAGGCAGCAGUAGGGAAUCUUCCGCAAUGGACGAAAGUCUGACGGAGCAACGCCGCGUGAGUGAUGAAGGCUUUCGGGUCGUAAAACUCUGUUGUAGGGAAGAACAAGUGCUAGUUGAAUAAGCUGGCACCUUGACGGUACCUAACCAGAAAGCCACGGCUAACUACGUGCCAGCCGCCGCUGUAA
rnacentral:rRNA from 1 species